UCGCGGACUCUUCCGGUCAGGUCGGCUAGCUCCGAAAAGUCCAUCGUCUUCAUCAUCUUCAUCAUUUCUCCACUGUCCCAGCAACUCCUCUAAGGACAGUAGCUACAAUGCUAAUGUUACCAUGGAAUAAAACUUUCCCCCCCUUAUUUCUUUAGAAACAUUGUAUGAUGCCCUGCAGCAUGCAAAUCAUAUACAGAUGAAUACAUGGAAUGUUUCCCAUUCCUCUCCCUCAUCUACGACUAGUGGGCCAUUGUUUUUCUAAAGAAAAUGUGAUAUUCAAUGUUUUUGGGGUUUGUAAAAAAAAAUUCUUGAUUUUCCAGCUCUGACACAGAGCACCCUGCAUUUUCUGCCAUUUGGGUGCAUUCAAUGCUUUUGGAGUUUUUUUUAAAAAAAUUUUUGAUUUUCCAGCUCUGACACAGCGCAUCCUGCAUUUUCUGCCAUUUGGGUUCAAUCAAACUGCAGAAUCUGAACUACACGUGGGCUGAUAUCCUGGGAUGCACCACUGAAGUUUUCUUCAAAAAUCAGUGCCUUGGUACAUCAUCCUCUGUUGGGUUCCUCAUUGUCUUUUACAAAGGAAAUGGGGCUGCUGUAGCUGGACAGUUGCCUUACUUGGUCAUAUGGCCCAAAUGGUUGGAGGCCCAUGGUCUUAAAGAUUAAGACAUGCCUGCAAGGAGGUGUGGGCCGGCUCUGACACAGAGCGUGAGGUUAAUCCCCUGGUCUCAUUGUUUUUCUAAAGAAAAUGUGAUAUUCAAUGUUUUUGGUUUUUUUAAAAAAACCCCAAAGUCCAAAAGGUGUGAAGGGGGCCAACUCCCACUUGCACUGGCAAAGGCACUUUAUCUGCGACUGGUGCCACCCACUCAAGCCACUGUUUGAACGGCUGAGAUGUAGGAAACAUCACAAUAUCAUCCUCUGAGAAGGUACUGUCAGUACAGGACUGGACCAGAGCAGGCCGUCUGAAUUGUCAACCAUUUUGCAUUCUAUAUUCCCUAUCUUUAAACAACCCUCGUUUGUUGCAGUUGUUGCGUCAGUUUUGCGGCUAUUAACAGCCAGAAGGGUACUAGCAGCAGGACCAACCUACACCCCUCAGCUGUUUAGAACCUUCCUUAGGCACAAUUUAUACAUGAUCUUUGUUUUGCAGCCUUUUCUGAGCAUGAGGUUAAUCCCCUGGUCUCUUUGUUUUCCUAAAGAAAAUGUGAUAUUCAAUGUUUUUUGGAGGUUUUCCAGCUCUGACACAGAGCACUCUGCAUUUUCUGCCAUUUGGGUACAAUCAAACUGCAGAAUCUGAACUACACAUUGGCUGAUACCCCGGGAUGCACCACUGAAGUUUUCUUCAAAAAUCUGGGGGUACACCACCUAAGCUUUGAGCUACCUCUCCAAUAGUGUCCAUUCGACACCGAACACUUUGUCGUUUGGCAUAGGUCUUCAAGUAGGAGGCUUCCUUAGCAAAGUAAACACUAGCAAAGUAAACUGCCCUAUUAACUGACCAGGCCAAGCAGGGGUUAAAGUUGUCUGUGCAAAUAGGCUUUAUCCAGGAUGUUCCUGUGUCAUGGAAAAGGUCUCUGUCCAAGGAGGUCUGGUCCUCGACUGAGUGUAUCUGGGAAAUGUGCCUCUUCUGCCUUCUGAUAGGCUGCACCUGAAAAGAGCCACUUCUGCCAUUGUGAAAGCUGAGCCCUCUUGAGGUGGUGGGAGGACCCACGCAGCAGGAUAAAGCCCACAAUAAACACCUAGAGGACCCUCUCCUGAGAGGGCUACAGUGGGAAGGGAUGGGGCAAACAACCAUAAACAGUGUGCAGUAAAGGUAAAUGUUUAUAAAACGAUCCUGAGAAUUUGUUGGGCUGCAGACUUGGGCAAAUUUGGGCUGAGUAAAAAAAAAAGUACUUAAAACCAUUCUCUUAGAGUUAGUUUUUUCCAUUAUUAAUGCCUUGGUUUCAUACUUGGAUGCUUCAUAUAUAGUUAGUGCUGAUGAAUAAAGUAUGCCUGAUGAUUACUUAGAGGUGCUUGGUUUUCCUUUAAAGCAAAUAAUGGGUGCAAUGAUGGAGUUUUCUGCUUCUCACAAUUCCUUUGUCAGCUGAGUUGCUGCCAAACCUCUAAUCUAUUUUUGAAAAGAGUCUUGGUAAUAGUAAUAAUAAGCAAUAAUGGGAAUAUUGUUGGCUCUGUACCAUGUCAUGCUAAUGAGUACUCCUUUUUAUUUUAAUGUUUUCUUGUUUAAGGAGAAAUAUAUUAGUUUGCUCCCUUCCUUGCUAACUUUCCUGCUGUGGAAUUCUUGAAAACUGGCAAAUUUUAGCCAUUAAACAGGAACUUUGAAUAGAAAGCACGUAUUUGCUUCUGUGAUCCAAACAAAGUGAUCUUUUUUAUUUUCUCCAUUCAGUUUAUACCUGCUGGGAUGUAUUUUGGUAAUGCACUCCAUAGGUAUGUUCUCUUCGGUGCUCUUUCCUUGUCUGAAAAACAAGCUCCUUUUUAUAACUUGCAUUUUCUAGUAAAAGAAUGCUAAGGAUGCCUUUAGCAUAAAACAAUUUUUUCACGGUGGGUUCACUAGUGACAGUGAAGCAGGGAAUAUACCUAUCAUUGGGUGAAGAAUGGAAAUGACUACUGUAGGGAUGGGGGACCUGUAGGCCCAUCUAGAUGAUGCUAAACAAUAUCCCCAAUCUUCCCUAGGCAGCAUGGCCAGUGGUCAAAGAUGAUGGGAACUGGAUGGGGACUGGCCUUCAGAGAACCAAGGAUUCUCCAUUCCUGGUGCAGGUAGAAGAAUUGUAAUUAUUCCACCACAGGGAAAAAUAAUACAGUGUGUGUGUGUGUGUGUGUGUGUGUGGUGAUGUGUGUUUUUGUGUGUCACAAUUCAUCAGGCUGUUUUGUGUCAACAUAAGCUGAGUUCUUUUCUAUUCUUGCUGGAUGUUCAAGAAACUGCCAGUGUAACGAGAUGUCACACACAAGGAUGUCAACUCUUAGUGAAGCUUUUGAGAGCAUUUCAAUUUUAGAGGAUGGUUGAAGGCAAAAAUUGGGAGACUUCAUAGUGAAAAUGGAUCGAAUGCCCACCUUUUAAAUUUGUUUUUAAAAUAACGUUUCUAUCUGUCAGAUUGAAGAGCAUCUUGAAAACAUGACUGCCAUGAACAAGCACACAAGCAGCUAAUAAUGCAAACAGCAAGACUCUCCAUAUAGUUUGUCUCCCGCCUCUCAAUGGCUCUUUAACUAACCUUUUGAUUUGGGGUCCUUUGUAUGACACCAUAUGCAGCUUUAUUAUUUGGAUCUGAAAAGGCUGCAGAUACCUUUCCCUUUCAAGAUAUUGUGUGAUAAUUUUACUUUUAUUUAAAUAUUUGAGAUGUGUAGAAACUGCUUUACCAGUCUGAUGCUGGGGUCACACAAACCCCAAUUAGAUGGUGGUGGUGAUGUUUGAAAGAUUUGCUUGACUGACCCCAAAUUAAUAUAAAAAGGAUGAAAUUGUAUUGAGGAAAAUUGUACAGGGAUAGACAUAUACAGGAAUGAUGUAUGGGGUCUGUAAUGAUCACUGCAUAAAAUCCUAUGGCAGGGGCUGGCAGUGGUCUACCCAUUUUGCGGGGGGGGGGGGUUCAGAGUUGUUGAGCAGCAGUCCUUUACUGAGCCUGUCAGGCCCCGCCACAACCCAGGUAAAGAGAAGCAGGGCAGGGCCCUUCAAGCUUUAAGCAGGUCAGUCCUGGGCAGCAGCAGUAGCGGUUUGAAAUUUCAGAAUAUAAAUUGAUAUUUUUUUUCCUAAUGUACAUAUUUUUCAAGAUUCAAAAAGCAAGAGAAUAAGAAUUGGGUCGCUAUCCGUGGCCGCUUCUUAAGACCAAAGAGAAGCAGAAAGACCAGACUCCUCCACUGCCCUCACUUCCGAUUGGACGCUGUGCCAGUGACACAUUUGUUGACUUUUCUGGCCAAGCGGAUGGUAUGUUGCACUGAAUUUCAUAUCGGUAAAAAGUAAUGUUGUCAAAUGUUAUAUGAUAUCAUUCUAUGAUAAGAGUCCCAGUCUUCCUUUAAUGCACUCACCAAGGCCUCUCAUUACAUGGAACAUUAAUGAUCCAGGCUCACUCCUAAAUAGGAGAUGGGUUUGGAAAGAAUUUAAAAGAGACAGAAAGAGAUUUUAAUUCAGGAAAUUCACCAGAGGAGCUACAGUUGAUUUUUGUGCAUAUUUCCUAAGCACAAAAAAGGUUGUGUUUUGUAUUUCACCUUAUUAUCAGUAAAUCAGUUCCUUAUAGUUACAUUACAAACAUUUCAAUUCAAGCCUACAAACAUUUUCAAAUGUUCACAAUUUUCUUUCAUAUAAAAUAUAAAUUUGUACCAGUCCUUUUGAAACAGUUCGUCAUGCUGAGUCCGGAUUAUGUCUUCGAACUCCAUCAUCUUGACCUGCCGGUCUUCCAGUGUUGGAAGUUCCUGCUGCUUCCAUUUCUGAGACAGAAGUGUACUUGCAGCCAUUGUGGCAUACAUAAACAUGUUUACCCUAAUAUAUUUUCUCUUUUUAUUUUUUUAAAGUAAUUUUUAUUGAGUUUUCCAUUAAAUCAUAUUCACAUUUUGUUACAAAAUUCUAUGACUUAAUAUAUUACUCUGUAAGAGCAUCGACCUCCUGCCCUCCCUCUUUCUGACUUCCACAUAACUUUCCAUAUUCUUCGCAUUUCUAUAAGCACUUAUUUACCCUUUGUCAAGUUAUAAUAUUUCACCUUAUUAUCGGUAAAUCAGUUCCUUAUAGUUACAUUACAAAACAUUUCAAUUCAAGCCUACAAACAUUUUCAAAUGUUUACAAUUUUCUUUAAUAUAAAAUAUAAAUUUGUACCAGUCCUUUUGAAACAGUUCGUCACGCUGAGUCCGGAUUAUGUCUUCGAACUCCAUCAUCUUGACCUGCCGGUCUUCCAGUGUUGGAAGUUCCUGCUGCUUCCAUUUCUGAGACAGAAGUGUCCUUGCAGCCAUUGUGGCAUACAUAAACAUGGCACAUCCAGGAGGGCCAGGCUGUGGAAGAAGUGGUAUUUGUUGGCUGUCUCAUAGAGCUCUUUCAAGUAGUCAUCUCGGUCCGGAUUAUGUCUUCGAACUUCGUCAUCUUGACCUGCCGGUCUUCCAGUGUUGGAAGUUCCUGCUGCUUUCAUUUCUGAGCCAGAAGUGUACUUGCAGCCAUUGUGGCAUACAUAAACAUGUUUACAUCACUUUUAUGUAUUUCCUCACCAAUUAAGCCUAAUAGAAAUGCCUCUUUUUUAAUUAAAAUUAUAUUUCAAAACCUUUUUUAUCUCGUAUAUUAUGUCCCAGAAAGCUUUCACUUUAGAACAAGUCCACCACAGAUGGAGGAAGUUCCCCUCCUUCUCCUUACACUUCCUACAUUUUUUGUCUUGAUUUCUAUACAUUUUAGCAAGUUUGACAUGUGUAAAAACCAUCGAUACAUCAUCUUAAAUAUAUUUUUUUUGAGUGACACACAUGCUGUGAAUUUAAUUGUUUCGGUCCAGAGUUUUUCCCACCCUUUAAAAUCAAUAUUGUGCCCCAAAUCCUGGGCCCACCUAAUCAGAACACUUUUUACCUCUUCAUCCUUUGUGUGCCACUCCAGCAGUGGCACCAAAAAGGUUGUGUUUUGUAUUUCUUGGUUCCUAGCACACUCCCCAGCCCUAUAUACCUGUCUACAGAGUUAGCUUCACUCAUGCUGUCAGGCAACUAAGUUUGCCCUGAGUCUCUUCAAUUUCCCUGGCAUUGGUGCUAUAUGGCCAAAGGAUGCUGCUUCUUGCAUCUGUUCAUUCACUGUAGUAAUGCCAACUUUCCCCACUUAGGCAAGUUAGAACCAGACCUUUUUCUCAGCUGGAACUUGCUCGAACAGAUCCAGCACCUCUCAGGUGGGCACCAUUAGAGAACAAGGGAAGUGUUCAUGAGUUCUGGCACUUUUUAAAAAAUAGAAAAAAUAUUAUACGCGUAACUAAACAUGAAGCUGAAAUAUAUUGAACAGACAGAAUUUCAACGAGUAACAGUGGUUUUUUUAAAAAAUAAUUCACAUACAUAGUAAAAAGGUGCCAUGAUGCCAUUCUGCGAGCUAUGGUAAAAUAGCAUGUAUAUCUGCAGCAAUGCGAAAGGAAAAAGUGCCCCAUUUCUGCUUUCAGUUGUAUACUAGGAAUCAGUUUUGUGAACUUUAUGAUACAAAAAGCUAACCAUUUUUUUUUUAAAGCAGCAACCCAAAUAUAACUGUGAAACAAAACGUAUCAAAAACUAUACAACUACUACACCUCAUUUGGAUGCUGUGCCAAUGAAGUAGUUCAUUUAUUAACUUAUUAAAAGAAAAGCCACUCCUAAUAUAUUUUCUCUUUUUAUUUUUUUAAAGUAAUUUUUAUUGAGUUUUCCAUUAAAUCAUAUUCACAUUUUGUUACAAAAUUCUAUGACUUAAUAUAUUACUCUGUAAGAGCAUCGACCUCCUGCCCUCCCUCUUUCUGACUUCCACAUAACUUUCCAUAUUCUUCGCAUUUCUAUAAGCACUUAUUUACCCUUUGUCAAGUUAUAAUAUUUCACCUUAUUAUCGGUAAAUCAGUUCCUUAUAGUUACAUUACAAAACAUUUCAAUUCAAGCCUACAAACAUUUUCAAAUGUUUACAAUUUUCUUUAAUAUAAAAUAUAAAUUUGUACCAGUCCUUUUGAAACAGUUCGUCACGCUGAGUCCGGAUUAUGUCUUCGAACUCCAUCAUCUUGACCUGCCGGUCUUCCAGUGUUGGAAGUUCCUGCUGCUUCCAUUUCUGAGACAGAAGUGUCCUUGCAGCCAUUGUGGCAUACAUAAACAUGGCACAUCCAGGAGGGCCAGGCUGUGGAAGAAGUGGUAUUUGUUGGCUGUCUCAUAGAGCUCUUUCAAGUAGUCAUCUCGGUCCGGAUUAUGUCUUCGAACUUCGUCAUCUUGACCUGCCGGUCUUCCAGUGUUGGAAGUUCCUGCUGCUUUCAUUUCUGAGCCAGAAGUGUACUUGCAGCCAUUGUGGCAUACAUAAACAUGUUUACAUCACUUUUAUGUAUUUCCUCACCAAUUAAGCCUAAUAGAAAUGCCUCUUUUUUAAUUAAAAUUAUAUUUCAAAACCUUUUUUAUCUCGUAUAUUAUGUCCCAGAAAGCUUUCACUUUAGAACAAGUCCACCACAGAUGGAGGAAGUUCCCCUCCUUCUCCUUACACUUCCUACAUUUUUUGUCUUGAUUUCUAUACAUUUUAGCAAGUUUGACAUGUGUAAAAACCAUCGAUACAUCAUCUUAAAUAUAUUUUUUUUGAGUGACACACAUGCUGUGAAUUUAAUUGUUUCGGUCCAGAGUUUUUCCCACCCUUUAAAAUCAAUAUUGUGCCCCAAAUCCUGGGCCCACCUAAUCAGAACACUUUUUACCUCUUCAUCCUUUGUGUGCCACUCCAGUAGUAACUGAUAAUUUUCAACAGCAUUUUCAUUUUACUACCCAGCAAUUCUGUCUCUAAUUUAGAUUUGUUACUUCCAAAUCCGUUUCUUUUAUUAUCCUCUCUAAACACAUCUUGUAACUGAUGGUAUUACAACCAAUCGGCUACUUUUCCUCUUAGUUCUUCGAAUGUCUUUAACUUUAUUUUAUUAUCACUUCCAUCAGCAAGUCUUUGUAUGUCGCCCAUUCAGUUCCCAUAUUUAUUUAUUUAUUUUUGAUUGCAAAAGCCUCCAGAGGUGAGAGGCACCUUGGAGUUUUGCAUUCCAAUAAUGUUUUAUGUCUGCGCCACACCUCAUACAAUGAUUUUCUAAUAGUAUGGUUGAAAAACCCUCUGUGUAUUCUGACCAUUCUGACCACAGGUAGGCGUGCCACCCGAAUCUGUUGUCAAAUCCCUCCAAAUCCAAUAUAUCUGAAUUAUCUAAGGUUAUCCAUUCUCUCAACCAACAAAAACACGCCGCCUCGUAGUAAAUUUUUAGAUCUGGCAGGGAAAAACCGCCUCUUUCUUUUGCAUCUGUCAAUAUUUUAUACUUAAUUCUUGGCUUUUUAACCUGCUAGAUAUAUUUAGACAAACUUCUUGCCAUACAUUAAAUUGUUUUGUUCCACUGAUAACCGGAAUUGUCUGAAAUAAAAACAUCAGUCUCAGUAACACGUUCAUUUUGAUAGCUGAGAUUCUACCCAUCAUUGAUAAUUUCAUUCUAGUCCAUAUCUCCUGAUCUCUCUUCACUUCAUUCCACACCUUUUCAUAGUUGUCUUUAAAGAGGUUUAUGUUCUUAGAUGUGAGCCAGACUCUAGGUAUUUUACCUUUUUUUCUAUCAACAUACCUGUCUUUUGUUGUAGUUCUCCUAUUUCUUUACUGUCCAAAUUUUUAGUUAAUAUUUUUGUCUUUUUUUUGUUGAGCUUAAAGCUUGCUAAUUACCCAUACUUAUCAAUCUUUUUCAAAGCUUCUAUUGCACUGGACAUAGGUUGUUCUAAAUUCAAGACAACGUCAUCGGCAAAGGCCUUAUACUUAUAUUCUUUUGAGCCUACCCCAAUCCCCUUUAUUUCUUUUGUUGCUUCUAUUUUCCUCAACAGGACCUCUAGUAUUGUUAUAAAUAACAAUGGCGAUAGCGGGCACCCCUGUCUGGUUCCCUUUGUUAUCUCAAUUUUGUCUGUGAAGUUAUUAUUAACUAUCAAUUUAGCAUAUUCUUCCGAAUAAAUAGCCCGAAUACCAUUUAAAAGUUUUUCACCGAUAUCCAUAAAUUCUAAAUUUCGUUUCAUAAAAUGCCAAGACACAUUAUCAAAUUCUUUUUCAGCAUCCAGAAACAUUAGGGCGACUUGUUUGUCUCUCCUGGAGUCCAGAUAUUCCAUUAUAUCAAUUAUAUAUUUUUUUCUCCCCCCCCCCAAAUAAAUUUAUUCACAGAAAAAAAAAGUGUGUGGGUUUUUUAAAAAGUGAAAUCACUCUCAUCAUUUAUUAAGUUAAAAAACACCAAUUGAAAAGCACUGAUCAGACAUUGCAUUUCGAGGCCUCCAUCGCAAACUCAAAUCUGGUUGCAAUUUUUUUUCGGGGGGGGGGAAGGAUCUUGGCUUUUUAAAAAGGGAUUCGGCAUUUGGGGAAUUCCAAGAUACAGGACGGAGACGCAUUCAGGGCGGGCUAAAGACCUCAAGGGAUCCCACUCUGACAUUUGGAAAUCUCUCCUCUCCUAGGGCUCCCUUCUGGCUAGCCUGAGGGAGGGGCAGGGCUGGCUGCCCUGGCAUUGGGAGAUGGGGGCCACAUGGGGACAGAACGGGGUGUCAAGGGGCCAUGGCGAUCCAGCCGAGGAUGAGGAGGGAACCACCAUACGGGGCCACCUUGGUCAGGAUCGGGUCCCCUGUCAUGGUGUGGUAAUACAGGGCGGCAGAGAACAUCCCCAUGCCCAGAGACAGGAUGCUGCCGGCUAUCAUGGGAUAGCGGCAGUGGGGCACAGCCAGGAGGGCCAGGCUGUGGAGGAAGUGGUAUUUGUUGGCUGUCUCAUAGAGCUCUUUCAAGUAGUCAUCUCAGUCGCUGCGAUGGAAAUCGUGAGCCCAUUUCUGCUUUCAGUUGUAUACUAGGAAUCGGUUUUGUGAACUUUAUGAUACAAAAAGCUAACCAUUUUUUUUUUAAAAAAAAGCAGUAACCCAAAUAUAAUUAUGAAACAAAACGUAUCAGGAACUAUACAACCACUACACCUCAUUUGGAUGCUGUGCCAAUGAAGUAGUUCAUUUAUUAACUUAUUAAAAGAAAAGCCACUCCUAAUAUAUUUUCUCUUUUUAUUUUUUUUAAGUAAUUUUUACUGAGUUUUCCAUUCAAUCAUAUUCACCUUUUGUUACAAAAUUAUAUGACUUAAUAUAUUACUCUGUAAGAGCAUCGACCUCCUGCCCUCCCUCUUUCUGACUUCCACAUAACUUUCCAUAUUCUUCGCAUUUCUAUAAGCACUUAUUUACCCUUUGUCAAGUUAUAAUAUUUCACCUUAUUAUCGGUAAAUCAGUUCCUUAUAGUUACAUUACAAAACAUUUCAAUUCAAGCCUACAAACGUUUUCAAAUGUUUACAAUUUUCUUUCAUAUAAAAUAUAAAUUUGUACCAGUCCUUUUGAAACAGUUCAUCACGCUGAGUCCGGAUUAUGUCUUCGAACUCCAUCAUCUUGACCUGCCGGUCUUCCAGUGUUGGAAGUUCCUGCUGCUUCCAUUUCUGAGACAGAAGUGUCCUUGCAGCCAUUGUGGCAUACAUAAACAUGGCACAGCCAGGAGGGCUAGGCUGUGGAAGAAGUGGUAUUUGUUGGCUGUCUCAUAGAGCUCUUUCAAGUAGUCAUCUCGGUCGCUGCGACGGAAAUUGUGACCCCCAUAGGCGGCCGCCCCGACGGCCGCAGCCCUGCUCAGCGCUCUGAGCUGUCGGAAAAACGCCCCGGCACCUGCCAUAUCAAUUAUAUUUCUAGCAUUGUCCUUCAUCUGUCUACCAGGUAGAAAUCCAGUUUGAUUCUUUCCAAUCUCCUCUCCCAAUACAUCUUUAAGUCUAUUGGACAAUAUACUGGCGAAUAAUUUGUAAUCAUUAUUUAGGAGCGAGAUUGGCCUCUAAUUUUUCACCUGCCGUAUGUCCAUGUCUUGUGUAAUAUGGGCUUCUUUCCAAGUAAUAUAUAUAUAUAUUUUUAAGAGGAAAAACUCAUUGGUUUAAAACGUUAUAUAUUUCCAGCCUGAUGUAGGGGCUGUGUUGUUGUUUUUUAAGCCAAAUGCAAUGAAAAUGCAUUGUUUGAAGAGUGAAUAGAUGUAUAUGCAGAAUAUGUAAAUGUGCACUGCGAAAGCUUUGUAAUAUUACUUUUGUGAUUUUGGGUAAAAUUGAUGGAUGAAGAAAGUGUUGAACUAAAAGCAAACUGUGUGCUUAACUUGUGUUUGUAUCUUUUCGUUUCUAAAGGGGCCUUUAUAAAUUGAAUUUAAAAUAAACAAGCAAACUCCAAUUUUUUUAAAAAAAUAGAAAAAAUAAUACUGGUUGGAGCUUUUCUCUGCUUCCUCUAGCUACUCUCCCACAAUAUAUACUGCUGGGGAGGACAAAGCAUAUGCACAGCUUUGCCACCCAUCUCUCAAUAUGCCCUAUACAUUUUACUUCUGGUUGGGCUGGAGCUGGCAUUUUUCUGAUGUCAGCACAUUCUGUCAUUGUUGCCUCAAAGCCAAUAAUAUUUAUGCUUUAAAAAUGCAGAGGAAAAGAACGAUAAUAGUUAUUUUAUAUGGGUACAUGGACAAAGUCUUGUUUGCUAUGGCAAGUAAAAAUUGCACGAAAGAAGAAAAAGUAAUUCCACCAGACUUAAGAAAUCCAUCUUAAUAUCAUUCAUAGAGCAAUAAAUAGCAUUAAGUGGGCCAAUCCAGACAUAGAUCAUACAACCCUAAACCACUUGGAGACACAAGAUGGAUUUUGUUCCAGUCAAAUAAAUCACUUAUUUUCUAAGGGAGCAAUAUUUACAGCAGUGGAAGGGGAACAAAUUAACACUAUUUUCAGUAUAGAAAAGGCCCAGGGGUGGAAUUAAGAAGUAUAGGCACAUCGAUCCCACCCACCCCUCACACCCUUUAUUUAUUUUUUAUUAAUGAGAACCUACAAAUCCACUGUUUUAUGGAAUUGUAGUUGAACAAGGGAAACAAGAAAAUAGUAUUGCCGCUCUCUUUUAUUGGUUUUGUUAAAAUAGGAUUUUCCAUUCUGACUGGCCAAUUUGACUGCAGCUGCCUGCUGCUGAUAUUAUGGAUAAUGUUUUCUUAAUGAAACUUGGAUCAGAAUGCUAUGCCGUCCUGCAUAUCAGAUGGAAAUAAGAACACCCUUCCUGGCCCAGUAAAUUACCACCCCCCCACUAGUUUUUAUCAGCCAAGAAGGGUAAGAGUCCGAAGCACAAGUCGUUGCCCUGACUAAUACAAACACCUUGUCCACAUCCUCAAGCCUUACUAUCUGAAAAUUAUCCAAAACAACAGGACUAGACAGUGCUCUGGACACCCAUGAGACUCAUCUGCUAUAACAGCAGAGUCAAGAUCUCAGUGGAUGCAAGUGGUUUUAUCCUCAAAAUGCUUUGCAAACAAGUCACAGUGGUUAGACAUAGCUACCAUUGGUUCCACCACCUCCUUGAGUCGGACUGUCUUUCUUCUUCUUUGGCGAUCACUUGUAGCUGAGUAGUACUGCUAUCUUCAAUACCACUAUGUAUGCUUAAUGAUGAGUCCACACUACUGUUCAGUUGUAUGCAGCCAGAUCUUUCCUCCACUUGCGCAGAGCGAUCUUUCAACUUGUUUCCUUUCCCUAAGUUCUGCAGUAUACCAAGGAGUCAAGUGGGAAAGGAUGCUCAGAAGUGAUCAUGUUAAAGGCCUGAGCCAUUCAGAUGUUCCAGAGGCUGGCCAGGGCUUUGAUAGGAGUGCCAGUCAUAUCAAACAGAAAAAGCCCUCAGCGUUACCUGGAAACCCAUUAGAUACAUCAGCCUCCAGGGGCGGAUGAUCCUAAUACGUCCCUUGCCUCUAGAAAGGGAAAAAGUGGGUUGAAAGUCUAAAUCGCAACAGAAAGUCAUCUGACCAUCAGAGGGCAAGCAGAACCUCAAUACUCCCUCCAUCCCUCCUCCUCUGACUAGGUGGACAAUGACUUUUUAACAUACUGAAAGCUCCCAAGCCCAAAAGGUGCAAAGCAAAAAGCUGAGGUUGCCAACUCUCCUCCACUCACACUGGCAAAGGCACUUUAUCUGCGAUGGCUACCGCCCAACUCAAGCUACUGUUUGAAUGGCUGAAAUGAGAAAGUACUGUCAGUACAGGACUGGACCAGAGCAGGCAGUCUGAAUUGUCAACCAUUUUGCAUUCUAUAUUCCCUAUCUUUUAAACAACCCUCGUUUGUUGCGGUUGUUGCGGCAGUUUUGUGGCUAUUAAAAGCCAGAAGGGUACUAACAGCAGGACCAACCUACACCCCUCAGCUGUUUCGAACCUUCCUUAGGCACAAUUUAUACAUGAUUUUUGUUUUGCAGCCUUUUCAGAGCAUGAGGUUAAUCCCCUGGUCUCUCUGUUUUCCUAAAGAAAAUGUGAUAUUUAAUGUUUUUGGGGGGUUUUCAAAAAAAAUUCUUGAUUUUCCAGCUCUGACACAGAGCACCCUGCAUUUUCUGCCAUUUGGGUGCAAUCAAACUGCAGAUUCUGAACUACACAUGGGCUGAUACCCUGUGAUGCACCACUGAAGUUUUCUUCAAAAAUCAGCGCUUUCUUAUUUCUUCACCUAUUUGGUUCCUCCCCGUCUUUUACAAAGGAAAUGAGGCUGCUGCAGUUGGACAGUUCCCUUAAUUGGUCAUAUGGCCCAAAUGGUUGGAGGCCCAUGGUCUUAAAGCUUAAGACAUGCCUGCAAGGAGGUCUGGGCCAGCUCUGACACAGAGCACUCUGCAUCUUCUGCCCUUUGGGUGUGUGCUGGCCCCGGGGGGGGGGGGUGUUACCGUGAGGCAUGGUCAGAGUCCGGUCCUGGGCCGAGGGUCUGGAGAGUGUCCACCAAGGGCAAAGCAGGGUCCGAAGCAAGAACCUGUGUGUGGUCGGGAACUCCGGAAUAACAGGUCUGGAUACUGGCAGAAACAGGUUUCCAAUCUGGUACUUGCAAGUAUUUCUAUUUAAGUUAUCUUAGCAUAUUUAGAUUAAUAGUCUUUAAAUUUCAUCCAUUCCUCCUGAUACUCCUCCUCAUUCUGGUCGCGGACUCUUCCGGUUAGGUUGGCUAGCUGCGAAAAGUCCUUCAUCUUCAUCAUUUACCACUGUUGUGGUCGUGAAUUCUGGAAAAACAGGUCUGGGUGCUGGCAGAAACAGGUUUCCAACGUCGUUGCUCCCGCAACCUGGGACUGAGCUGACUGGCCAUUAUCUUCUCCGGGGCCUAGGGUGGUCCCGGCCCACAGGUGACUCGCCUCUCCUGGCCUUAAGGCGAGCACUCCUCCUGAGAGAACAUAGUUCCC